GAUGAACGCUGGCGGCGUGCCUAAUACAUGCAAGUCGAGCGAACGGACGAGAAGCUUGCUUCUCUGAUGUUAGCGGCGGACGGGUGAGUAACACGUGGAUAACCUACCUAUAAGACUGGGAUAACUUCGGGAAACCGGAGCUAAUACCGGAUAAUAUUUUGAACCGCAUGGUUCAAAAGUAAAAGACGGUCUUGCUGUCACUUAUAGAUGGAUCCGCGCUGCAUUAGCUAGUUGGUAAGGUAACGGCUUACCAAGGCAACGAUGCAUAGCCGACCUGAGAGGGUGAUCGGCCACACUGGAACUGAGACACGGUCCAGACUCCUACGGGAGGCAGCAGUAGGGAAUCUUCCGCAAUGGGCGGAAAGCCUGACGGAGCAACGCCGCGUGAGUGAUGAAGGUCUUCGGAUCGUAAAACUCUGUUAUUAGGGAAGAACAUAUGUGUAAGUAACUGUGCACAUCUUGACGGUACCUAAUCAGAAAGCCACGGCUAACUACGUG
rnacentral:rRNA from 1 species